AUGAACGCUGGCGGCGUGCCUAAUACCUGCAAGUCGAGCGAACGGACGAGAAGCUUGCUUCUCUGAUGUUAGCGGCGGACGGGUGAGUAACACGUGGAUAACCUACCUAUAAGACUGGGAUAACUUCGGGAAACCGGAGCUAAUACCGGAUAAUAUUUUGAACCGCAUGGUUCAAAAGUGAAAGACGGUCUUGCUGUCACUUAUAGAUGGAUCCGCGCUGCAUUAGCUAGUUGGUAAGGUAACGGCUUACCAAGGCAACGAUGCGUAGCCGACCUGAGAGGGUGAUCGGCCACACUGGAACUGAGACACGGUCCAGACUCCUACGGGAGGCAGCAGUAGGGAAUCUUCCGCAAUGGGCGAAAGCCUGACGGAGCAACGCCGCGUGAGUGAUGAAGGUCUUCGGAUCGUAAAACUCUGUUAUUAGGGAAGAACAUAUGUGUAAGUAACUGUGCACAUCUUGACGGUACCUAAUCAGAAAGCCACGGCUAACUACGUG
rnacentral:rRNA from 1 species